rnacentral:rRNA from 1 species
UACGUAGGGUGCAAGCGUUAAUCGGAAUUACUGGGCGUAAAGCGUGCGCAGGCGGUGAUGUAAGACAGUUGUGAAAUCCCCGGGCUCAACCUGGGAACUGCAUCUGUGACUGCAUCGCUGGAGUGCGGCAGAGGGGGAUGGAAUUCCGCGUGUAGCAGUGAAAUGCGUAGAUAUGCGGAGGAACACCGAUGCGAAGGCAAUCCCCUGGGCCUGCACUGA